GUGCCUUUGUUCCGUCGCGCCGCCGCUCCCCAAUCCCGUCGCCGAGGCAACACCACCUCUCCCACGGCCGCCGGCCUUAAUUGAGAUUUCCAACCUGCGCCGAGCCCCGUCCUCCUCCCAAAUCUCACAAUGCCAGUGUCGGAGAGUUCAAUGGUGAGGGUGCCAUCGAGGUGCACAGCAGAGACGGCGCGGGCCACGGUCGCGUUCGAGAUCACCGGCUACAGCCUGCACAAGGGCCUCGGAGGAGGCAAAUUCCUCUGUUCUCCUGCAUUCUCCGUCGGCGGCUACGAAUGGUGCAUCGGCUACUACCCCGACGGUUACGAGGACGAGGGGAGCGAAGGUCACGUCUCUGCCUUCCUCAAGCUCUUGACCAAGAACGCCGAGGUGAGGGUGCUCUACAAAUUGGUGCUUGUGGAGCCGUCUAGCGAGCGGUCGAUUGGGGUGAGCUGCAAAGUCCCGCGAGUGUUCACCAGUGAAAGUCCAUGUUGGGGCUUUCGAAAGUUGUCGGCCGCUGAAGUAGAGUCGGUGUACCUGCGGAACGAUUGUCUCAUGAUCGAGUGUGAAGUCAGUGUUAUCAAGGAAUCACUCGAUAUCCAUGUGCCGCCCUCUGACAUUCUGGAUAAUCUUGCAACCUUGCUAGAGGGGAAGAUAGGAGCAGACGUGACUUUCAAGGUUAAAGGGGAGAUUUUUUCUGCUCACAAGAUUUUGCUCGCGAUGAGAUCGGCGGUCUUCAACGCGGAGUUCUACGGGGCGAUGAGGGACAAAGGAGCGCAGGACAUAACUGUUGACGACAUGCAGCCUGCUGUUUUCAGGGCAUUUCUUCACUUCAUAUACACGGAUUCAAUGCCUCCCAUGGACGGUCUUGAGGAUGAUGACAAAAGAGAAAUGGUUAAGCACUUACUCGUGGCUGCGGACAAGUAUGCCAUGGAAAGGAUGAAGAGGAUAUGUGAAAGCAUGCUAUGCAAGAGUCUUGAUGUUGAGACUGUGGCGACCAUAUUAGCUCUGGCUAACCAGUAUCAUUGCAACAACCUCAAAGAUGCUUGCAUUGAAUUUAUGCUCUCUUCAAAUAGAAUGAAAGAUGUGAUCUCAAGCCAAGGUUAUCUACACCUCAAAAGAUCUUCUCCUGAUGUCAUCGUGGAUGUGUUGGAGAGAGCAGCGAAGUUCUGCAAGAUUUAGUGCGUCAACAUGGCAUGAGCUACUGCUAAUCUCUCAGUCCUGAUCACCUUAAUGUUGGGUUGAAGAAAACAACCAAGUCUUGCUAAAUUUAACAUGCUCAUCCUGGGUUAGCUUCCCAUCAAUCCAUCUAGCUACGUUUUGAUACAUAGCCACCUGAGAUGAGGUGCCAUCUCUUUCAGUUUCAGAGAUCUUUUGGAGGAAGCGAGUUGGUUUUGUAAAAUGUAUGUCUACAGUGUAUUGGUUGCCCCGUCUGAUAUAAGUAUAUGUGAAUCUGUGGUAGCUCACUAGUUGCCUCUGUUAUUUGCUCACUUUAAUAUCUGGCUUAUGUUAAGAAUGAUAAACUUUGAGUUUCUUGGCUAUCACUGUUGAGAUAAUCUGUUUUACCUAUAUGAAGAACUUACAUUUUGAAUGCCAGCUGUUAGAUUUCCAGUUAGAGACAUUUAGAAAUGGUUUCGUGACAUGAACCUUGCUUGCACAUCAGUUUGUCUUUUAUUCAGAAAAUUUCAGUAGAAAACGAAGUUGAAGUCUUGAACCAAACUACUGUGAGAUCAGGAGCAGGCAAUUGUAGAUUUAAUUUUCAGUUAGUAGUACUUCUAUUGUACAAGCAUAUGUUCAGUGAAGCCUCCGCGUAUGUUAGCUACAAAAGCACAAUCCUGUAAGAAAUAGGCACUACUUAAGCCUCUGUACUUGUAUUUGUACAUAAUUGAGGGAGGGGUUAACCGUACAAAAACUGAGAGAGGGAUUGCGAGGAAUCUGGAGGGAAUGGUUGAGGGAGUGCCUGAACAAUGACUUGAAAACCUAUUUCAAAUCUGAUUUUGAUAUGUCGUGUUCUUUAAUCAUUUUGAAAGGGUGGUGCAGGGAAAAAGGAAUAAUGAGCUGAAUUCGGAAUUUGAUUCAAGGAAAAGAUUGCCUAAAAUAUGUAUGAGGAGACCACCACCUAUGUUGGUGCAGGCUAGCAAGCUCUAUACACAUAGUAUAUCUGAAGCUUUUCAAGCUGAAUAUGAAAGAUCCCUGGCAGCUUGCACCAAGGCAUUGGAUGGUUGUAACGAAUAUCUAGUAGGAGAUUUUACCUUUGAGGAGUAUAAAGUUAUCCGUGAUCCUUUGAAGCAAACAGUUGCAUGCAGCUGCUGAGAAUUUGAUAGAAUGAGGAUAUUGUGUGGUCAUGCUCUUAAAGUUCUUGAUUUGAUGAAUAUCAAGUCUCUACCUCCACACUAUGUGUUGUUAAAGCGAUGGACAUGAGAAGCAAGGGGUGGGACCGUAAAAGACAACGAGGGUUAAUUUACAAUUGUAGACAUUCUAAUUUUUAAAAUAACCUUCUUUCUGUAUUUAAUUAACAGGGACCAAUCACAGACGACAUUAUUAUUAAUAGAUUCUGGUGAAAUACUACUCUCUUUGGGCAAUCAUGUACUCUAACUUGUGCACCAGUUCAGUACAAUUAUGGGCACUAGUUGCCAUUCAGUUAUGUUUAGGUUCAGUUCCGGGCAACAAUUGCAUCCACUUCAGUAAAAUUUCAGUUCUUGGCAACAUUUGGCAUCCAGUCUAGUCCAGAAGUUUGCAGAUGCUCAAAUUCCAUUCGGUUCUGUUCAAUUCUGCACUUGACUGUUGCACAAGUACUAGCUUACUAGAACACUGAUUGGAUUGCUCAAUCUCUUUUUUGCCAAACUAAAUUCAGUUAUCAAGCCUGAAGAUGUACAAGCAGCUCCUUUGGAGACGGCGAGGCCGGGCCAUCAGCUCGUUCAGCGACGGGGAGGAAAGAGUUUUUUUUUUCUUCAUUUUGGUGAUUGUGGGCUGCUUAUGGGCCGAGGCGUCGCUGGUUUUCGUUGCCAGUGGAUGCUUCCGCCGUCGGAUGGCUUACGAACGGGGGAUACGCACAUCACGUCCCUCUGCAGUAGCCUGAGCUACGUUACCAGUGGAUGCUUCUGCAGUUGUCAGUGGAUGCUUCUGCAGUUGUCCAAACCGUCGUCUCGAACCUUCCCCCAACCCAAUCUCGGCGCUCACUUUCUUCCCUCGCGCCGCCGCUCCCCAGUCUCCCCUCGGACGCAAUACCGCCUCUCCCAGCGCCGCCGGCCUUAAUCGAGAGUUCCAACCCGGCGCAUCCCCCCACCCCACAAAUCCCACAAUGGCAGCAUCGCGGGGUUCAAUAUCAAGGAUGCCGUCGAGGUGCACAGCAGAGACGGCGCGGGCCACGGUCGCGUUCGAGAUCGCCGGCUACAGCCUGCUCAAAUGCCUCCGUUCUCCGGCAUUCUCAGUCGGCGGCUACGAAUGGUGCAUCGACUACUUCCCCGACGGAAGCAAAAGCGAGGCAGGCGAGGGUCACGUCUCCGUCUUCCUCAGGCUCUUGAGCAAGAACGCCAAGGUGAGGGCGCUCUAUAACUUGAUGCUUGUGGAGCCGGUUGGGGGGAAGUCAAUUGUGGUGUGCCCCUUAAGAAAGCCACUAGUGUUCGACCCUAAAAGGAUAUCUUGAGGCAAAACAAAGUUCAUGAAGACCACCAGUGAAGCAGAGUCGGUGUACCUGCGAAGUCAGUGUUAUCAAGGACUCGUGAUCGAGUGUGAAGUCAGUGUUAUCAAGGAAACACUCAGGUCCACGUUCCGCCGUCCCGCCUUUUGGAUAAUCUUGCAAAAUUACUAGAGGGGAAGAAAGGAGCAGACGUGACUUUCAAGGUGCAAGGGGAGGUUUUUUCUGCUCAUAAGGUUUUGCUUGCGACGCAAUCAGCAGUCUUCGACGCGGAGUUCUACGGGCCGAUGGGGGACAAAGGGGCGCAGGAUAUAACUAUUGAUGACAUGCAGCCUGCUGUUUUCAAGUCGUUUCUUCACUUCAUCUACACGGAUUCAAUGCCUUCCAUAGACGAUCUCGAGGAUGAUGACAAAAGAGAAAUGGUUAAGCACUUACUUAUGGCUGCAGAUAAGUAUGCCAUGGAAAAGAUGAAGAUGAUAUGUGAAGGCAUGCUAUGCAAGAGUCUUGAUGUUGAGAAUGUGGCGACCCUAUUAGCUCUAGCUGACCAGCAUAAUUGCAGCAAUCUCAAAGAUGCUUGCGUUGAAUUUAUGCUCUCUUCCAAUAGAAUGAAUGAUGUGAUCGCAAGCCAAGGGUAUGUACAACUCAAGAGAUCUUCGCCUGAUAUCAUUGUGGAUGUGUUCGAGAGAGCAGCUAAGUCCCGCAAAAUUUAGUAUGUGUCGUGGAAUUGUCACGGCAGAUGUCCUCGUGCUAGGACUUAGUCGUGGAGCCAUCGCAACUAGGAAGCUUAAAGGGGUUAAACGGGACAAGGAACACGGGGGUUAUACUGGUUCGGCCCCUUACGGUGAAGGUAAAAGCCUACGUCCAGUUGAGGUGGUAUUGCUUAUGGUUUCGAUGACCAGGGAGCUUGAUCGCUAUGCCUGGCUCUCGAUGAGAUCUUACUUGUCCCUAAACCGCCGCCGGGUCGUCCCUUUAUAUAAAGAGGUUGACGCCCAGCGGCUCUCAGAGUCCCGGCCGGCUCAUAAGAGUGUCCGGCUCGGACUCUCAACUAUUCUUGCCUUACACUACAAGUUUUACCCUAACGGCGGCUAAUGCUACGGGCCCUUAGCCAUCUCCGGGUCUUGGGCCCGUUAUUGACCCGCCGUCUUCAUCUUUGGUACUGGGCUUCGCGUAGUAACCAUCAUGGGUAACCCGGCCCCUCCUGGGCGGGUGACUCCAACGGUUAUAUCCUCAACAUUAGGCUCCAGAUUGAUUUGAGCCGGCUCAUGUCAAUCUUCAAUCCUUUCGAUAGAAAAUCUUCCGGCUUACAAUUGUGUGAAGGCUAUAACCCGUCGUGACGUCAUCUUCUGGAUUCCGGGUAACCUGCCGUGACGUCAUCUUCUAUUAAGUUAAUUUUUUAUUCUGUCGCAUCUCCAACGGAUCUUAUCUUUAAUGGUCAUCCCGAAAAUCGAGGCGCCUUUGUGGUGAGAUAAUCACGCCGUGGCCUCCUCGUUUCUUGCGCCCACUUAUGAGCCUCUCUUUAUAAAUAGCCCGGCCCGAUGAGCCUCCAGUCACUCGUCGCCUCCAUCUUCUUCCUCCUCUCGCCACUGUGCUGCCGCCCGAGCUCCGCCGCCGCCGCCGCGGGUCUUCUCGUCUUCACCAACUCAGGCCGCUGCAUCAACCUGAUGUGACCAGAUAAACGACGGCGACCUCCGCAACUCUCCAGCACCCGUAAGCCCUUGCCAUUCCGUAGCAUAGAUCUGCAUUAGGGUUCUUUCCUGUUCUUCCCGUGUUCAUCGUCGUUCAUCGCGAGCUUCUUGAUAGAUUUCAUUAUUACCACCCUUUCUUGAUCUUUAGACUGUAUUGAACUGUUGCGGUAGUUGUUUCACACCCGUUCCCAAUGUACAUAGAUCCCUUUUCAUUGCAUAAAGGCUCCGUUCGAACCUAUGAACUUCUUCUGCGUCUGUUUUAGGUCUAGAAACUUUCCCUUUCCAGUCGAUCGUUUGAUCUAGAAUAAUCACUGUGAUUUGUGAAACUUGUUUGCGCCACACUUAGUCAAAAAUUGCAUCUGUUUAGCUAUGGCGGCUCAUAUCUCCGGUUUAAAAGAGGCCACACGCUGUAGAAAUUUCCGGCUCAUUCAUAAUAAGGCUUUAGGCAGCUGGAAUUACUGACGAUGCCCUCAGCGGCUUAGAUAACCCGAUGCAUUUAGCCAUAUGUCAUUAGGCCCCUUCGUAAGCCGCCACUUUAAACAUUGAACUGUAACUUCCUCCGGCUUAUAAUUGAACCGGACACUUCCUUUUAUCAUAGGCUUCCGUCUUUCACAAUGCCUCCCAAGGCUCCCAAGGCACCCAUCACGUGCAACUGGAUGAGAUCCAAUGUUACUGACGAAACCUUAGCGGACUUCGUGAAGACGGGUCACCUGCCCAAGAAGGAUAUCAUGUCUUACCGUGCCCCUGACUCGUCGGAGGAGAGACCGCAACCAAGGGAGGGUGAGGUAGUGAUUUUUGCUGAUCACAUGAGCCGGGGCUUCGCACCGCCCGGCUCAAAAUUCUUUAGAGACGUGCUGAAUUUCUUUGAUCUGCGGCCGCAAGACAUAGGACCCAAUUCCGUGUCAAAUAUAUGCAACUUCCAAGUAUUCUGCGAAGUCUAUCUUGGAGAAGAGCCCAGCCUGCUGCUCUUUAGAGAGCUCUUUUAUCUGAACCGCCAGAACGAGUGUGCCAACGGGCCGAGCCUGGAACUUGGUGGAAUCUCCAUUCAACGCCGGAGAGACUGCCUCUUUCCUUACGCUGAGCCGCCAAGCCACCCGAAGGACUGGAACCAGACGUGGUUUUAUUGCCAGGACACUUCUCCGGCUGACGAGAGCCCUCUGCCCGGCUUUCGUGCCCUGCGUCUGGAACCAAAUCACUCUCUGCCGGAUAAGCUGACUCAAGCCGAGCGUCAACCUCUGAUCCCCACCGUCAACAAAAUUAAGGCUCUCCUGGGAAAUGGCCUCAACGGCAUUGAUCUGGUCCGGGUCUGGAUCUCUUGGCGGGUGAUCCCCUUAAGCCGCCUCCCCGGCUUAAUGUGUGAUUACACGGGCCGGAAGGAUGACCCUCUGCGGCACAGCCCCAAUGAUCUUCCUGAGGACGUUGUGGACGACAUGACUAAGUCUCUCCUGAAUGAGAGCUUAGCCGACUGUGGGAGGACCGGCUUAAGCCCCUUCUACAAGACUAACCCGGCCCCAGCGGUAAGCCACUGAUCUGAACACCUUAUUUUCUCCUUAGAUAGUUUUCAUCUGAACCUUAAGAAGUCUUCAUUGUAUUUUUCAGGCUAAUGAUAAAUUCUGGAAGGUCAUGUAUGACCAUGAGGCGGCUAAAAAAGCCAGAAAGGCUAAGAAAGCCGCAAGGAGAGCCGCUCCCCGCAAGAAGGGAAGCAGGCCUACUGCCUCAGAGCUGCUUCAACUAAGUGACAGCUCCGAGUCAGAGGUAACCCCUGAACCUGUAAGCUCUUGUUUUGUUUCUUGUUUAUUCCUAUCCACCUUAUUGAUACUGAUCAUCAGCAGGAUGACACCGGAGCAAGUAACCCGGUGACUGAAGAGGUAAUGACACUUUCCUCUGACUCGGAGCCCUUGCCAAGGCUGAAAGUCCGAAGAGUAACCCGGAAAGUAAGAUUUUCACAUCCUUUAGCUUAUCAAGAUCCUCAAUUUCUUUUGAAGCAACAGAUUCAUGAGAGCCGGCGGCACACCCGGACCAACAAGGAUGCAGACCUCUCCUCCGGCUUACCUGAAGCGUCAAGGAAGCGCCGGACCGAGGUUAUCUCCAACUUAUAUCCUUUUCAUCCUUUGGCGGGAGUUAUACGUCAACCGCUCAAUUCUUCUGAUUCAAAUUAUCAGGAAACUUCACCUUCCUCUGGUGACUCUAUGCAAUCGAACCUGCCGGCUUUCAAGACCGUACCCGGGUAAUGAUGAUCAUCUCUUGUUGUGCUUAUCUUUACCCAUAAUUUUGUACUCACCUUUUGUCCUUUCAGUGCCCAGGCAAAGCUCAGCAAGAGGGCGAAGAAGAAUAAUCCGGUCGAAGAGCCGGUCUUGGCUGAGCCGGAGGUUUCAGCUCAAGAGCCGCCAGCUGCCUCUGCUCCUGAAGCCACCACUCCAACCGACGAGCCAGCCAUGGAGACUUCCACCAACCCGGACAUCUCCAGCCCGGCUCAGCCGGCCGAUGACCCAGACGUGGUAAUCACCCGGACGGAGUUUGUCGAGCCGGGGAGACCCACUGCGCUGGCUAAGUGCUCUGCGAAGGAAGAGUUGCUAGAGCGCCGCAGGGCCAAGCUGGACAUCACCAACUACGCCAACCUGAGCAUUGGAGAUAUCAUCUCCGGCUAUGUCAAUCAGGUGCACAGCAGCCGGGACCUGGAGAUUGACAUGGUGAAGCAGAUACAGCAGAAGUCUGAGGUACCACUCUACUUCUUACCGCAUAAUCAUCUUUACCAUACUAGCCCCCAAGUCUACUACUUAUGAUAGAAUAGGUUGUAGACUUAACUUCCGGCUUACUUCCAUGAACCAGUAAUCUGUAGAUAGAAACUUUCGACAUGCAUUAGCCCCCAAGUGCCAAGUGUCUUUGCUUGGAAAGUGCUUGGGUUCAUACUAUAACCCGGAAAUUGUGCAGGCUGCUUGCAAGAAAUUUGAGGCUGAUAUCUCGGAGCUGAAGAACCGCCUGAAGACUCAGGAAACUGAGACCCGGAAGGCCAACGCCAAAUUUGAAUCCAGUAUUGCUGCUCAAGAGAAGCUGAAGAAGAAGUUUGAAGCUGAAAGGAAAACUUGGGCCGAAGAGAAGGCUGCUCUGGUAAGCCGGGCCGAAUAGGCGGAGAAGACUCUGACGGAGAGAACCGCCGAACUCUCCGGCUUAAAGCGCCAUGUGUCACAGAUGGUCACCGCAAUCUUCGGUAAGUCAUUCUGCAGGCUUUGAACAAGUUUACAGUCUUUAUGUCUCACAACUCCCAUCAUUGAUAACGGCUUAUCUUACUUUGUUAAACAGGUCCAGAAGCGCCAACCUCAAUCAGAACGUGCUGACCAAGCUGAAGGCCGUGUACACCCUGGUGGAGCAACUCUACACCGGGUCACAGCGCGCUUUGGCCGUGGUGGCCCUAUCCAAUGAGGUUCCGACUCACCUGGCGGACGUACUUCGCCGGUUUGCCGUUCUUCCUCAGCGUUUCCAAGAGCUGCGACGGGCCUCUGCAAGAGCCGGAGCCAUAGCUGCUCUGAGCCAGGCCAAGGCUUUCCUUCCAGAGCUAACCCGGCUGACAUUGCACUUGGUUACCCCAGCCUGAAGGAAGACGGCACCCCCUUCGACCAAAAAGACUUUGCUGCCUGUGUGAAGAUCGUGCGCCCGGUGGCCACCCUGAUUGGGAAUGACACCGAUCUGACCAAGUACCAGCCGGGCUACGACGCAGAGAAUCAGAGGAUCCCUACUCCGCGUUAUGAAGCCAUCAGCUUGGUCCCGCCGACUCGUAAGCACACCUUUGCCCCAGAAAUUGACCCGGCCGGGUUAAUUGACGAGGAGGCUCAAUUUGAAGCUUUGAGCGGCAUUGACUGGAAAUCGUCAACCUUCCAGGUCAUGGGAACAGCCGGAGGAGCGGAAAGGGAUGAGCCGGAAGCUUCGACCCGGCAAGCAUCUUGACUCUUUAGACGGCCCAUGAUUAUGCUUGUUAAACAAUGCUUCACCCUUUUGGACUCGGGGAGUCUUGUAAUAGAGUAGGACCAACAUUUUAACUUUGUCAUGCCAUCGUGCACGUGUUGAAUGCUUAACUCCAUUGAAGUUGCUUCCUUAUAUUCUUCCGGGUCAUAAUUGAUCAUUUAUUUUCCUUAAGCUCAAAUAGCUGUCUUUAAGCAUCCUGCAUAGAAAAACAAGUCACAAGUCUCUAGGCGGCUUACCGCACUGAGAAUCAUAGUCUCAUACAUAUAACCCAGAAUAUGAAUCUAAGUCACCAAAGACUGGUCCUCAAUUAUGUCCUUGAUGUAACCAUAAUAGCAUACUUACAGGCCUUCAAGUAUGCUUCCGGUUUAUGUAACCCAGAUAAUAAGGUUGGUACCUCAACUCCGGUUUACCAGUCUCGAUAAUGCUGAUUGUGUGUGACUAACACUGUGAAUCAAAGUUAAGUCGGCGGAAUAAGAACCGCCGUGUACACUGUUGAUACAACCAGAAGAACUUGUUGUAAAUCAGAAAAUCAAAACUUAGGGGCUUCCGGUUCGAAUACGACCAGAGACCCAUCCCAAAGGGGUUAAGCUAAGAUUCAAAUGCGAUCAUAUAGCCCCUAGUGGGUUUGGCGAUGCCGAUCAAGAGGGUACCGACAGCUAUGUUCUCUUUGGUUCGAAUACGACCCAUGUUUGAACAGGAAGCCCCCAAAUGACCUUAAGAGUUGUUUAACGACGCUGAUUCGAAUACGAUCCACAUCGGUUCCGAAAGGGGGUUGAGCUAUGAUUCAAAUAUGAUCAAAGAAAACUCCCCAAUGAGCUCGGCACCUUGCCAAUCAAGUGGGUACCGACAGCUAUGUUCUCCUUGGUUCGAAUACGACCUAUGUUUGAACAGGAAGCCCCCAGGUGAUUAUAUUGCUUACGGCUAGAUUCAAAUACGAUCAUAAGCCGGAUCCACCUCCAAGCAACCAUGUGAUGUUGUAAUGGAAAUAACACGUUUACCUUUGGAGGAGAAAAGGACAGAGGUCCUGCUUUAUUAUUUAACAUGAUAUAUACAUGGCUAUAGAAAUAUGUACAUUAUGAGAGCCGAUGGCUCAAGUGUAAUAAGGCCGAAGUUGAGCUAUGUUCCACGGCCGACGGGUCUCUUCCUCCAACUUACGCGAAUCUUUAUGCUCCCGAACGUCAAUAAGGUAGUAUGACCCGUUGUGCAAGUUCUUGCUGACCACAAAGGGCCCUUCCCAAGGCGGGGAUAGCUUGUGCGCAUCUGUUUGAUCUUGGAUGAGCCGGAGCACCCGAUCACCUUCCUGGAAGACCCGGGACUUAACCCGGCGACUGUGAUAACGGCGCAGGUCUUGUUGGUAAAUCGCUGAGCGAGCUGCUGCCACAUCACGCUGUUCGUCCAACAAGUCAAGAGCAUCUUGGCGCGCCUGUUCAUUAUCUGCCUCAACGUAAGCCGCCACUCGAGGUGAGUCAUGACGGAUGUCGCUAGGGAGGACUGCUUCCGCUCUGUAAACCAUGAAGAAAGGCGUAUAACCCGUAGAUCUGUUAGGAGUAGUAUUGAUGCUCCAUAACACGGAGGGUAACUCCUCCACCCAACAACCCGGCGUCCGUUGCAAAGGGACCAAAAGCCGGGGCUUGAUGCCUUUCAAAAUCUCCUGAUUAGCUCUCUCAGCUUGACCAUUGGAUUGAGGGUGAGCCACUGAUGAAACAUCAAGUCGAAUAUGCUCUCGUUGACAAAACUCCUCCAUGGCGCCUUUAGACAGAUUGGUUCCAUUGUCAGUGAUAAUGCUGUGUGGAAAACCAAAACGAAAUAUCACCCUUUUCGUGAACUGAACUGCUGUGGCUGCAUCACACUUGCUAACGGGCUCUGCCUCAACCCACUUUGUGAAUUUGUCAACUGCCACCAAGAGGUGAGUCUUCUUAUCCUUGGACCUUUUAAAAGGCCCAACCAUAUCAAGCCCCCGGACCGCAAAUGGCCAGGUGAUCGGUAUCAUCCUCAGCUCCUGAACCGGCACAUGAGCCCGUCGCGAGAACCUCUGGCAACCAUCACAUUUACUGACCAAGUCCUCCGCAUCAGUAUGAGCCGUCAGCCAAUAAAAACCAUGACGAAAAGCCUUGGCAACAAGGGACUUUGAGCCAGCAUGAUGGCCACAAUCCCCUUCGUGAAUCUCACGCAAGAUUUCUUGACCUUCCUCAGGGGAGACACAACGCUGGAACGCUCCCGUAACACUGUGGCGAUGCAGCUCACCAUUGAUGACAACCAUUGACUUAGACCGCCGGGUUAUUUGUCUGGCCAAGGUUUCAUCCUCAGGAAAAUCUCCCCGGGUCAUGUAAGCCAAAUAUGGCACCGUCCAGUCCGGGGUGAUGUGGAGAGCCGCCACCAACUGUGCCUCCGGGUCAGGAACAGCCAAGUCUUCCUCUGUAGGCACCUUAACAGAAGGGUUAUGCAAGAUAUCCAGGAAAGUAUUAGGUGGCACCGGUUUUCGCUGAGAGCCCAGCCGGCUUAAUGCAUCAGCCGCCUCGUUCUUCCUGCGAUCGAUGUGCUCUACUUGAUAACCCUGAAAGUGUCCAGCAAUGGCAUCAACUUCACGACGAUAAGCCGCCAUGAGAGGGUCCUUGGAAUCCCACUUGCCUGAUACUUGUUGAGCCACUAAGUCUGAGUCGCCGAAGCACCUUACCCGGCUCAAGCUCAUCUCCUUAGCCAUCCGAAGACCAUGGAGCAAGGCCUCGUACUCAGCCACAUUGUUAGUGCAAGGAAACAUCAAUCGUAGCACAUAAUGAAACUUGUCACCUUUAGGGGAAGCCAAUACAACUCCAGCCCCCAAGCCCUCCAAUUGCCUGGACCCAUCGAAGUGAAUAGUCCAAUAUGUGUUAUCCGGCUUUUCUUCGGGCACUUGUAGCUCUGUCCAAUCGUUGAUGAAAUCCACCAAGGCUUGAGAUUUAACAGCAGUGCGUGGUACGUAUUUCAGACCAUGAGGCCCGAGCUCUAUAGCCCACUUAGCCACUCUUCAUGUGGCUUCUCUGUUUUGGAUGAUAUCUCCAAGGGGAGCAGAACUGACCACAGUGAUAGGGUGACCCUGGAAAUAAUGCUUAAGCUUCCGGCUUGCCAUGAAUACACCAUAAACAAGCUUCUGCCAAUGUGGAUACCGCUGUUUGGACUCUAUGAGCACUUCACUGACGUAGUAAAUCGGCCGCUGAACCGGAUACUCUUUACCCUCUUCCUUGCGCUCCACCACCACAGCCACGCUGACGGCUCGUGUGUUAGCAGCUACAUAUAGUAAUAAGGGCUCCUUAUCAACCGGAGCAGCCAGAACUGGGGGCUCCGCCAGCUGUCUCUUCAAAUCCUCAGAAGCAGUAUUAGCAGCAUCAUUCCAGACGAAGUCAUCAGUUUUCUUCAUCAACUGGUACAAUGACAUGGCCUUCUCACCCAAACGGCUUAUAAACCGGCUUAAAGCAGCGAUACGACCCGCCAGACGCUGGACGUCAUUUAUACACGCCGGCUUAGCCAGCGAGGUGAUUGCCUUGAUCUUCUCCGGGUUAGCUUCAAUGCCUCUAUGAGAAACCAGAAAACCCAAGAGCUUGCCUGCAGGAACACCAAAAACACACUUGGCCGGGUUAAGCAUCAUCUUGUAGACCCGGAGAUUAUCAAAGGUUUCCCUCAGGUCAUCUAUCAAGGUUUCCUUCUCCCUGGACUUAACCACAAUAUCAUCCACAUAGGCAUGAACAUUGCGCCCAAUCUGGUUAUGAAGACAGUUCUGCACGCAACGCUGAUAAGUCACCUGUGCACUCUUGAGUCCAAAAGGCAUAGACACAUAACAGAAGGCUCCAAAGGGAGUGAUGAACGCCGUCUUCUCCUGGUCCUUAACUGCCAUUUUAAUUUGAUGGUAUCCAGAAUAAGCAUCCAAGAAACUUAAGCGCUCGCAACCCGCCGUAGCAUCAAUGAUUUGAUCAAUACGGGGAAGGGCAAAAGGAUCAGCCGGACAUGCCUUGUUUAAGUCCGUGUAGUCCACACACAUCCGCCAGGUGCCAUUCUUCUUGAGCACGAGCACCGGGUUAGCUAACCACUCUGGGUGAAAGACUUCAACAAUAAACCUGGCCGCCAAGAGCCGGGCCACCUCUUCUCCAAUGGCUUUCCGCCUUUCCUCAUUAAACCGCCGAAGGAAUUGCCUGACCGGCUUGAAUUUCGGAUCAACAUUGAGUGUGUGCUCAGCGAGUUCUCUAGGUACACCUGGCAUGUCAGAAGGUUUCCAUGCAAAAAUGUCCCUAUUCUCACGGAUGAACUCGAUGAGCGCGCUUUCCUAUUUUGGAUCCAGAUUGGCACUGAUGCUAAACUGCCGAGAUGAAUCACCUGGAACGAAAUCAACAAGUUUAGUCUCAUCAGCCGACUUAAAUUUCAUUGCUGGCUCAUGCUCCGUAGUCGGCUUUUUCAGAGAGGUCAUAUCUGUUGGGUCAACAUUGUCCUUGUAAAAUUUCAACUCCUCUGUUGCACAAACAGAUUCUGCAUGAGCUGCAUCGCCUUCCUCACACUCCAAGGCCACCUUCCGGCUGCCAUGAACCGUAAUGGUCCCAUUGUGACCCGGCAUCUUGAGCUGUAAAUACACAUAACACGGCCGUGCCAUGAACUUGGCGUAAGCCAGCCGCCCAAAUAUGGCAUGAUACGGACUUCUUAUCUUGACCACCUCAAAGGUCAAUUUUUCCACCCUGUAGUUGUACUCGUCUCCAAAGGCCACUUCUAACUCGAUCUUACCAACUGGAUAAGCCGACUUACCAGGCACCACACCAUGGAAAAUAGUAUUGGACUGGCUGAGGUUCUUAUCAAUCAACCCCAUACGACGGAAAGUCUCAUAAUAGAGGAUGUUGAUGCUGCUGCCUCCAUCCAUGAGCACCUUAGUGAACUUAUAUCCUCCCACCUGAGGAGCCACCACCAGGGCCAAGUGACCCGGAUUAUCAACCCGGGGAGGGUGAUCCUCCCUACUCCACACAAUAGGCUGCUCAGACCAUCUUAAAUAGCGUGGAACCGCCGGCUCAACAGCAUUCACAACCCUCUUAUGAAGCUUCUGAUCUCGCUUACACAGACUGGUGGUAAAUACGUGAUACUGUCCACCGUUAAGCUGCUUUGGAUUGGUCUGAUAACCCCCCUGCUGCUGUUGAUGACCCUGGCCAGACUGCUGAUUAAAGCCCCCUUGACCGUUCUGAGGAUUAGAAUUUGAGCCGCCGCCCGGGCCAUGAAAACCGCCAGCGCCUGAGCCGCCGCCCGGGCCAUUGUUGCCAUUAAAGGCAUUGGAAUUCUUAAAGGCCUUCAUGAUUGCGCAAUCCUUCCAUAGAUGAGUAGCUGGCUUCUCCCUAGAGCCAUGCCUUAGACAAGGCUCAUUCAACAGCUGCUCCAGCGUCGGGCCUGACCCGCCGGCUCGGGGAGGUGGCCUCCCCUUGCGUCGCUGGUUAUUACCCUGUGAGCUGGCGUUGGCCACGAACUCUAGGCUGCCGUCGGCCUUACGCUUGCCACCUCCUUGGUUCCCCGGGUUAUGCUGAGGACCCUUGCCAUUGCAGUUCUUCUUUCCCUUCCCUGUCCUUUCAUCAUCUGAAGCGGGGUCCUUGGUACUAUCAGAGUCGACGUACUUGACGAGAGCCGCCAUCAGCGUACCCAUAUCAUUGCAGUCGCGCUUAAGCCGCCCGAGUUUCAUCUUCAGGGGUAGAAACGACAAUUCUGCUCCGACAUUAAGACUGCAGAGCCGGCAUCCAUCUUAUCAGAUGAAUGUAUUAUCUCUUUGACCCGGCGAACCCAAUGUGUCGUAGACUCACCCUCCUGCUAUUUACAGUUAGUCAAAUCCACAAUUGACAUAGACUGCCUACAGGUAUCUUUGAAGUUUUGGAUGAACCGGGCUUUCAGCUCAGCCCAAGACCCGAUGGAAUUCGGUGGUAGCCCUUUCAACCAAGUGCGGCAGUCCCAUCUAACAUCAUGGUGAAGUACUUGGCCAUCGCCGCUUCACUGACCUCCAGCAAUUCCAUGGCCAUCUCGUAACUCUCGAUCCAGGCUCCGGGUUGUAAAUCAGCCGUGUAAUUAGGCACCUUCCCAGGCCCUUUGAAGUCCUUGGGUAGACGUUCAUUGCGGAGAGCCGGCACUAAACAAGGGACACCUCCAGUCCUCGUAGGGAUACCCACGUCGACGGAAGUCGUCGGAUAAGCCGGGGGUGUCUGGUAAGCCGUCAACUGAGGCACCUGCUCCGCCUCUUGCCGCGCUCUGUCUUGGUCUGUUGCGUGAAAGGCUCCGUUAUGAGCCGGGCCAUGGCCAGGGGGCAAGUCAUGGCGUCGGACAUUACUUGAGCCGGUCGUUGAAACCAUGUGUCUGCUAUAACUCGGGCUCCGGCCUGGACGAGGGGUUGAAUGGAUCCUGUCCCGGCUGUAAGAGUACGCCUCUUGCUGCGCCAGCGCUGUCUGAAGGAGUUCUCUGACCCGGCGGGUUUCAACAGCCGUUGGAGAGUCGCCGUCAAUUGGGAGAGCCGCCAGCCGUGCUGCCGCGGCGACCAUAUUUUCCAGCGGGUUAGCAUAAUGACCCGGUGGUAUUGGCACAUACUAAGGUGGGGCAGGGUUCACCCGGGGAGGCCCCAUCACUUGUGGCUGAAUAGGUAUCCCAGCCCCGGGCACUAUGAUCUCCGGCGGGUUACUAGACCCUGCACCUGGCGUGUUGAAGAGGUUUCGAGGAUCGUAGACCGGAGGGAGCCGAGAUUGGGCCUUUUGAUGCCUCCUUCUCAUGACCUCAUUGGACGCGUUCUGAUCCAUCGUGAGCCGGAAGGACUGCGCCUGAAUCAACUGAGACUGGGCGUCGAGAGCCGCCCUCUCCGCAGCCAUCCUGAUCCCUUCCGCCGCCAGAUCCUCCUUGGCUUUCACUAGAUCUAACUUUAACUGCGCCACCUCCGCAUCAUGCUGAGCUUGAUCCGCCGGGUCAACCGUGGCGGUCAACAGGGCCGUCAUCUUGUCCGUGAGAUCCAUCAGCACCUGAGCCGGCGAGGGUACUGGGUUUCCUGACCCAGCGGCAGGGUUUUGAACAGGCUGUGCACCGGCCAUGAAGAUUCCAACCCGGCUCGGCGGCUCAAAAGGGUCCGGAAUACUGUCACCAUCGGAACAACCCCUGAGCCUGCCAUCUUGAAUUUGAUACAACGAGUUUGACUCAUCUGUGGACGACUCGCCGUCAGAGCCAGCGGCCGUCUCAUCACCAGAUCCAGACCCUACAGAGAGUCCUCCAUGAACACAUCCCACAAAAGCAUGCUUCAAGGCAGGUAGAGCCCGGGCGGGUCGUGCACGCUGAGCCGUCUCGAUGAGACCGGCGCAGAGAUCCGGCUCAGGGCCCGGCUCACCAAUCUUGCCAAUGAAGACAUGAAUUCCGCCGAAGGGGACCCGGUACCCGUACUCAAUUGAGCCGGCGUCGGGGCCCCAGGUUGCAUCGUCGAUGUAGAGCUUGCCGCGACGACUCUUGGUCAUCCGGCCCACAGCGUAUCCCUUGAGCCCUUCGAAGCUGCCCUUCAAGAACUCAAAUCCACCGUGCGCUGGCCCCACGGUGGGCGCCAACUGUCAUGGAAUUGUCACGGCAGAUGUCCUCGUGCUAGGACUUAGUCGUGGAGCCAUCGCAACUAGGAAGCUUAAAGGGGUUAAACGGGACAAGGAACACGGGGGUUAUACUGGUUCGGCCCCUUACGGUGAAGGUAAAAGCCUACGUCCAGUUGAGGUGGUAUUGCUUAUGGUUUCGAUGACCAGGGAGCUUGAUCGCUAUGCCUGGCUCUCGAUGAGAUCUUACUUGUCCCUAAACCGCCGCCGGGUCGUCCCUUUAUAUAGAGAGGUUGACGCCCAGCGGCUCUCAGAGUCCCGGCCGGCUCAUAAGAGUGUCCGGCUCGGACUCUCAACUAUUCUUGCCUUACACUACAAGUUUUACCCUAACGGCGGCUAAUGCUACGGGCCCUUAGCCAUCUCCGGGUCUUGGGCCCGUUAUUGACCCGCCGUCUUCAUCUUUGGUACUGGGCUUCGCGUAGUAACCAUCAUGGGUAACCCGGCCCCUCCUGGGCGGGUGACUCCAACGGUUAUAUCCUCAACAGUAUGCCAACCUGGUAUGAGCUACUGCUUAUCCUUCCGUUCCGAUUGAUCUUUGGAGUCAAAUGCCUUAUGUUGGGUUGAAGAAGGCAAAGUCAUGCUAAAUUUAUAGUAUAGUGCCCAUCCUGGGUUAGCUUCUAUCUAGUUACUUUUGCUAAAUAUUGACCUUAGAAGAGAUUGUCAUGUCCAUGUUUCCAGAGAUCUUUUGGAGUAAGCAGUUGGUUCUAUAAAAUGUAUGUCUACAAGUGUAUUGGUUGCCCCAUCUGAUAUAAGUAUAUAUGAAUCUAUGGUAGCUCACUAGUUGCCUUUGUUAUCUGCUCAUUUUAAUAUCUGGCUCAUGUGAAGAAUGAUAAAACUUCGAGUUCUUGGCUAUCACUUUUGAGAUAUCUGUUUUACCUAUAUGAAAAACUUACAUUUUGAAUGCCAGCUGUUAAAUUUUAAUUAGUGACAUCUACAAAUGGUCUCUUACUCUCUUGACAUGAACCUACUGGUUGCACAGCAGUUUUCUUUGAUUCUGAAAAUUUCAGUUAGAAAAUGAAGUUGAAGUCUUGAACCAAACUACUUUGAGAUCAGGAGCAGGCAUUUGUAAAUUUAAUUUUCAGUUAGUAGCACUUAUAUUGUACAAGCAUAUGUUCAGUGAAGUCUCUGUGUAUGUUAGCUACACAAGCGCAAUCCUAUAAGAAAUCUAUAUCUAUACCACUAUAUAUAGUGUGCCAAUAGCUUCAAAUAUUAGUCAUCGGAUAUGCUCAUCCAACGGUCAAGAGAUGGCAAAUCCGAGCAUUAUCAUCCGUUGGAUAUAGUUGUCAACUCAUAGGAUUCUGUGGCCUUCUAAUUGAACUCCCACCUCUACCAUCUCAUGUCUUCUAGAAGCAUCUAUCCACAUGCUUAUCUGGUACUCUAAUAAAAAGAGACUAGAACAAUUUGGAUUCUAGAGAGAUAAGAACCAAGUUGGAUCUUAUCCAAUACGAUUCUAGGAAAGAAAAUACACAUUCNNNNNNNNNNNNNNNNNNNNNNNNNNNNNNNNNNNNNNNNNNNNNNNNNNNNNNNNNNNNNNNNNNNNNNNNNNNNNNNNNNNNNNNNNNNNNNNNNNNNNNNNNNNNNNNNNNNNNNNNNNNNNNNNNNNNNNNNNNNNNNNNNNNNNNNNNNNNNNNNNNNNNNNNNNNNNNNNNNNNNNNNNNNNNNNNNNNNNNNNNNNNNNNNNNNNNNNNNNNNNNNNNNNNNNNNNNNNNNNNNNNNNNNNNNNNNNNNNNNNNNNNNNNNNNNNNNNNNNNNNNNNNNNNNNNNNNNNNNNNNNNNNNNNNNNNNNNNNNNNNNNNNNNNNGACGUGCAAAGCACAUACAAUGUAUACAAUGUACUAGCAGGUACAUAAUUGAGGGAGGGGUUAACUAUACAAAAAUUGAGAGAGGGGUUGAGAAGAAUCUGGAGGUUUGAUCCUUACAGGGAAUGGGUGAGGGAGUCGGGAUCACCCUACUGCUGGGUGGACUGAAAUCCCCGAGGGUAUUAGAGCCCCAUCAACUGAACAAAGCCUAAUGUGGAUUUGUGUGCUGUGCGCCCCUCUGUUUAGCUCCGCUCCUGCGCUGUCCGAAGCUGGAUUUGCCCUGGCAAGGCGAUUAUUGCACCGGCUCGUGGAUCUCGCUCUGCCGACAUAAUCAAGCAGCAUAUGAGAAAAGUCAGGUAAUGUGUCUGCGAUAGCUGCAUAUGGGUAAUUUCAUUUGUUUGUUACACAAUUUUGUUUUGUAUCUGUCAUUUCUAUUUUGAGAAAAGCCCACUGCUUGACGAUUUUUCUUGGAAUAUUCUGUCCCAAAUGUGAUUGAUCUCUUAUCUUUUUUGGCCCAUUUCUUGUUUGAAAUGCACUUUUUCAAAAUCUGAUGGAGUGAUAUUCUGAUUUCGUGAAACGGAACUCUUCAUUGUUUUUAUGUGAUCCAUGCAGUAAAAGUUUGGUUUUUGCAGUUCAGUAAAGCUCUCUGGAUUAUGAAAGAGUAUACUAGUUUCCCUCAUAUUGCCACUUCAUUUUUCUGAAUUGUUCUGUUUAACAUAACAUAGGUGCCUCUCAGUUUUUUUGUGGCGCUCGAGGGAGGAGGCCCGAACCAGAACAGCAGGCCUGAGGCGCUCUGCGUCAGCGGAAAAAGGGGAGCCCCGGGGGCGGCGGCAACCGGUGGUCCGCGGGCCGGCCGGACAAGGGGCGACGACGGCCGGGUGGAGAGGGGACGGAUCCGGGGCUCCAGCAGCUCGGCGGGGUCCAACAAGGCGGAGACGGCCAGAUCCGGCCGCGGGACACCGAUUUCCGGCGAGGCUUGUAGCGGGCAGGCCGGAGUAGAGCAGGUGCGGCCGGACGGGAAGAGGCGGCCGUGACCGGGGCGGAGCAGCGGGAUCGGGAUCCACGAUGGGGAGGGCCGCACAAAGCUGCUCGCCUAGACCGCCAACCAGGCAGGAGGCGCCGGAUCGAGAGAGGGAUUAGCACGGAGUUGCAGCGUGCGGGAGAGAGGAGAACCUAACAUCUGAUACCAUGUUGGAUAAACAGCAACUGACUUUACUGAGGGCCAAAGGCCAUUACAUAUACAUGUGUGGUAAAGUGCAGGAAACCCCUUAUACAAUGGGGAUAUACCGAAAAAAGACUAUACACAUCUAACACAUCUAACAGUUUUGAAGUUAUCCUUUCAUUCAUUGACAAUGGAGCAAAAGGAAAAUGCACAGACAUUGCUGUCAACACUGGCGGAAGACGAUCAGUAGGACGACAAAAGUUAAGAGAGAUUGUGGAGCUUUGUUCAAGUCAAGUAGAUUGGGUUAGUUGGUUCUUUGUUCACGUUUCUUCGGAUUUUUAUCGUCAAGUCAAGAUAGGAUAGUUGAUGCAUAUUGUGAAGUUUUUCUGUUGUAUAAAUGGAUUUGAUGUACACUGUGAAUAAAAGCUCCUGGUAUUUGGAGCUCCUUGUGGAAUGUGCAGUGUAUAUUUAUUGUUGUCCGCUCUUGUAAUAGCAAUGAUGUGCAGUUUGCAGUGUGUAUCUGUUGUUGUCAACAAUUUUAUCAGCCAAGAAUACAACCUACUAGCAUGUAUGCCUAUAUGUUGAUUCAACAAGCUCACACGCAUAUUCACAUAUGAAAAUAGUGUAUCUACCUUGUAACAUAUAAUUUUGUAUUGAGGAGAACAUCUAUACUUCUUCAGUGCCGCAAAUUAGAUUGCAUAUAGUCAUUACUUUCAGAUAAAUAAAAAUGAUCAUUCGAAUGAACAUAAUUACAGAAUAAAGGGAAAGCAUCAGUUUAAUGUUACAACAAGUGUAUACAACCAUUUGGCAUGAACAGAAAAUUAAUUUUGCCGAGACAAACACACAAGGUUUGACAAUAUAUGUUCACUAAUAUUCUGGUAGCAACACAAACAUACAGCUAUAGAAUAAAAGGACAACUUAAAGUAAAAUUUCACCAUUUCACUGAUAUGCCCAGCUAACUAGCAUUAAACAAGAAGAUAGGAACCAUCAGCGCACUACCCAGACGUCGCAGCUGAAACCUUGAUGUGCUAGCACCUCCACUGAAAUCUAAUUGACGAGCAACCGGUGGAGUUGUGCCAUCUCCAUUAGGUUUAAGCAGUAGUCUUGUAAAUUCUCCUGGAAUAGGUGGAACAAAAACGGAUGGAUACUCCAAAUUCCAUGGCAAUGGGUGGAUAUAUAGUACCAGCACACUGCAUAUUGCACAUCAUUGUUAUCAAGAGAGUGGAUAACAACAAAUAUACGGUGCAAAUUUCAGAAGGAUCUUCAAAUACCAGGAGCUUUUAUUCAGUCUACACCAAAUUCAUUUAUACAACAGAAAAGCCCCACAAUCUGAAUCAACUAUCCUAUCUUCACUUGAGGAGAAAAUUCUGAAGAAAAGUAAACACGGCAUCAACUAUUCCAAGCUACUUUGACUUGAGUUCCUGAUUGUUUGGUCUUGCUGGGCGAAACAAAUCUCACGGGCAUUUCUGGAAAGCACUUAAUCCUGAACGCCGGAGGCAUGCGCAUCAGCAGUUUUUUGGUUCUUCCGUCUUCCUUUUGCCGUCCUGCUGAUCGUCUUCCGUCAGUGUCGACACAACAGCAUGCUCUGUGCAGUUUGUUUUUGCUCCAUUGUCAAUGAAUAAGGGGAUAACUUUAACACAAGCAUAUUCAGCAGAAUAAAAGGAUGCAAAUGGACAGAGCACAUAGCUAUGUGCUUGUGUUGCAACCUGCAGAUGAGCAAACAUGCUCUGAACUUGAAGUUAUCCUUUUACUAAGAUACAACCAGCAGGUCAAUGUAGAGUAGGGUAGCCAGCAGAGCCAAACUGAGGAGGGUGGCCAUGGACGGCGAGUAACACACCUGCACGUGAGAAGCUUGGCCGCAGCCAAGGGGUAUAUGCGCUGGCGAUGCCGCGAGUGGAGGCGCCUGUGAGCAUCGCCGUGGCCGGUGGGGAGAAGUAGCUGGGCGGUGCUACGAGUUGGGCCGCCCGACGGGGAUGAAUCGAACCAGGGGUGGGUGCUUGGUGUCGAGGAGCUCAUCGGCGGCGAUGUGGUGAGCAUCGGGGAGUAUCACACCGGCGGCUGGAAUUUGGGGGCGUUCCAGAGAUUGAAUGUGUGUUUGAAUUGUGGCCAAAAUGCAUCCUACCAAAAUUUUGGUUAUGACUGAAAAAUUGAUUUUUGUUUGAAUGGUUGCCAAUUUUUUGGUAUAUUAAUGAACUCUAGCCAACUCUAGUGCAUUUUUCUUAUCAAUGUCGGUCAAAUCUUAGGCAACCAAAACCUCAACCAAAAUUUUGGCUAGCCAAUACUUUGGUGGGGCAAUCUUGGGCACAAACCAAACACACCCUGAAUCGUGAUUUGCAAACGAGGAAAUGGGGAACCAGACUGCUGCUGCUUUAAGAUUCGUAUAUAUAGCCAAGCGUCGCACGCGAGAGAGGGUCUCACUAUCGGCUUCGUACGGCAUUACGCUGCCCGUAGUGACUAGUGAGGGGAAAGUUUUUGGUAUGACCGGGUCAAACUAGGCCAAACGGGAGACUGAAAUGAAAAUUGCACGGUAAUGCUAUGUACAGGCAAGGUUGGCUCCAAUAGAAAGCAGACACCUAACACUCCGUGGGCCAAGUAUCUUUGUAUUGCACUUCUUUCUCUAUUUCUCAUCUGCGUAUUUCUGCUCUCUCUUUUCAACCUCACCAUUGUACAUCACAUGUAUGCAUCACAGUAAUAUGGCAGAACAAUUCUCUCUCUCUCUCUCUCUCUCUCUCUCUCAUAAAUCCAAUCAUUUUUCCAUCUUGCUAAUUUAAAACAUCUAUAUCUUUUAAAGGGUAUAUUCGUUUUCAAACUUUUCAUAUGUUUGAACUCCUUGCAUCAAAACCUUUAAAAUAGGAUCAAAAUUUGGAUAUUUUCAACCAUGUUUCAAAUCGGACGUAUAUUUCACAUUUCAAAAAUCAGUUUCACAAUGAUACAUUACAAAAUUUCUGUAGUUGCUAUUUCACAAUUCAGAACCUACAUUUUCCUUUUCACCGGUUUGUUUCAAUUGCACAUUUUUCAAAAUAACAUAUUUCACUCUUUUGAAUAAUCUAGUUUCACACUGCUAUAUUAUAAUUUUAUUUUUUUGUGGUUACUGUUUCACAAUUCAGAACCUAAAUUUUACAUUUCACUAGCCUGUUUCAUAGAAAUGACAUCUAUUUCAAUUACACAUUUUUUUGAACUAACAUAUUUCACUUUUUUGAAAUAAGCAAUUUCACAUUGAUACAUUAUAAUUUCACCUUUUGUGAUUACGAUUUCACAAUUCAGAACCUACAUUUUACAUUUCAUUGUCCUGUUUCACAGAAAUCCCAUCUAUUUCAAUUACACAUUUUUUGAAAUAACAUAUUUCAGUCUUUUGAAAUAAGCAAUUUCACAUUGGUACGUUAUAAUUCAUUUUUUGUGUUUACUAUUUCACAAUUUAGAACCUACAUUUUACAUUUCACUGGACUAUUUCACAAAAAAUACACAUAUUUCAAAAAGCAUGUUCACUUCGUUAAAAAAAUUUGUUACACAUUUCAAAAAAUCAAUUUCACAAAGUUGACAUUUCAGUUUCAUAUUUGGGUUUAAUAGGUUUCUAGUGAAAUACAUUGGUUUAACAUAUUUCUAGCAAGUUUAUAUUUAGCAUUCAUACGCUCAAUGUUUUCAUACGCUUAUCUCCAGCAAGUUUAUAUUUAGCAUUCAUACGCUCAAUGUUUUCCUUAGUUAACUCAUGCAUUUUUUUAGAUCAAAUCAGCACGUUGUUUAGCAUUAAAAUUAACCUUCUCCGAAGAUGGGAGAGGCACCAAAUCAAUAGGUGCACGAGGUAGGAAACCAUACACAAUUUCAAAAGGGCACAUCUUAGUAGUAGAAUGCAACGAACGAUUAUAAACAAAUUCAAUAUGAGGCAAGCAUUCUUCCCACAUUUUCUUAUUAUUCUUCAAAACAGCCCUAAGCAUAGUAGACAAUGUUCUAUUGACUACUUCAGUUUGACCAUCUGUUUGGGGAUGACAAGUAGUACUAAAAAGCAGUUUAGUCCCCAACUUAGCCCAUAAACAUCUCCAAAAGUGGCUAAGAAAUUUAGUAUCACGAUAUGAAACAAUAGUAUUUGGCACACCAUGCAAGCGAAUAAUUUCACGAAAGAACAAAUCAACAACAUUAAUAGCAUCAUCGCUUUUAUGACAUGGUAUAAAGUGUGCCAUUUUUGAGAACCUAUCCAUGACAACAAAUAUGCUAUCCCUCCCCUUCUUUGUUCGAGGUAAACCUAAAAACAAGUCCAUAGAUAUAUCCUCCCAAGGAACACUAGGUACAGGCAAAGGCAUAUAUAAACCAUGAGGAUUGAGUCGUGACUUAGCUUUUUGACAUGUAGUGCAGCGAGCAACAAAACACUCAACAUCCUGUCUCAUCUUUGGCCAAAAGAAAUGUGUAGCAAGUAUAUCCUCUGUCUUCUUCACGCCAAAGUGUCCCAUUAUGUAACGCCCACGAUGCGGCUAUAUCUCCCACGUGUCGAGGCACGACUUAGAGGCAUAACCGCAUUGUAGGUAUUGUCGCAAAAAGGGUCAUCUUCACACAAUCUCAUGUAAUGAACAAGAAUGGGAUAACGAGAGUUGGCUUACAAUCGCCACUUCACACAAUACAUAAUUAAUUCAUACAUCAUCCAAGAUCCACACAUAGACCGACUACGGUCAAAUCCAAAUGAAAAUAAGAUAACCCCAAAUGCUAGAUCCCCGAUCGUCCCAACUGGGCUCCACUACUGAUCAUCAGGAAACGAAACAUAGUAACGACCACGUUCCUCGUCGAAACACUUGAGCUCAGUUGCGUCAUCUGCACUGGUAUCGUCGGCACCUGCAACUGUUUGGGUAGAAUUUAUGAGUCACGAGGACUCGGCAAUCUCACAUCCGCGAGAUCAAUACUAUUUAAGCUUAUAGGAAAGGAUGGUGUAAUGAGGUGGAGCUGCAGCAAGCACUAAGCAUAUAUGGUGGCUAACAUACGCAAAUGAGAGCGAGAAUAGAAGCAACGCAACGGUCGCGAAGUUAGAAAUGAUCAAGAAGUGAUCCUGAAACUACUUACGUUCAUUCAUAACUCCAACCGUGUUCACUUCCCGGACUCCGCCGAGAAGAGACCAUCACGGCUACACACACGGUUGAUGUAUUUUAGUUAAGUCAAGUGUCAAGUUCUCUACAACCGGACAUUAACAAAUUCCCAUCUGCCUCAUAACCGCGGGCAUGGCUUUCGAAAGAUAAUACCCUGCAGGGGUGUCCCAACUUAGCCCAUUAUAAGCUCUCACGGUCAACGAAGGAUAAACCUUCUCCCGGGAAGACCCGAUCAGUCUCGGAAUCCCGAUUUACAAGACAUUUUGACAAUGGUAAAACAAGACCAGCAAAGCCGCCCGAAUGUGCCGACAAAUCCCGAUAGGAGCUGCACAUAUCUCGUUCUCAGGGCACACCGGAUGGGAAAGACGUCGGGUUGGCAUAGACCCUGGUUGCCCAGGNNNNNNNNNNNNNNNNNNNNNNNNNNNNNNNNNNNNNNNNNNNNNNNNNNNNNNNNNNNNNNNNNNNNNNNNNNNNNNNNNNNNNNNNNNNNNNNNNNNNNNNNNNNNNNNNNNNNNNNNNNNNNNNNNNNNNNNNNNNNNNNNNNNNNNNNNNNNNNNNNNNNNNNNNNNNNNNNNNNNNNNNNNNNNNNNNNNNNNNNNNNNNNNNNNNNNNNNNNNNNNNNNNNNNNNNNNNNNNNNNNNNNNNNNNNNNNNNNNNNNNNNNNNNNNNNNAAGAUGACCUUCGGGCUUGCGAAAACCCAAGGGAAAAAGGCUUAGGUAGGAAAAUGUAAAACCAAGGUUGGGCCUUGCUGGAGGAGUUUUAUUCAAGGCAAACUGUCAAGGGGGUCCCAUAAAUCACCCAACCGCAUAAGGAACGCAAACUCAAGGAACAUAACACCGGUAUGAUGGAAACUAGGGCGGCAAGGGUGGAACAAAACACCAGGCAUAAGGCCGAGCCUUCCACCCUUUACCCAAUAUAUAGAUGCAUUAAUUAAAUAAGAGAUAUUGUGAUAUCCCAAAAUAUCCAUGUUCCAACAUGGAACCAACCUCAACUUCACCUGCAACUAGCAACGCUAUAAGGAGGGCUGAGCAAAAGCGGUAACUUAGCCAAACAACAGUUUGCUAGGAAAGGAUGGUUAGAGGCUUGACAUGGCAAUAUAGGAGGCAUGAUAUAGCAAGUGGUAGGUAGCGCAGCAUAGCAAAAGAGCGAACAACUAGCAAAGCAAAGAUAGAAGUGAUUUCGAGGGUAUGGUCAUCUUGCCUGCAAGGUUCUCAGAGUUGUCGAAAGCUUGAUCCUCGUAAGCGUACUCAACAGGUUCCUCGUUCAUGAACUCGUCUCCCGGCUCUACCCACAGCAAGAACACAAGCAAUGGAACCACAAUCAAUCACGGGAAAUGCACAAGCAACAUGAUGCAAUACAUGCAUGGUAUGCGAGAUGUGAUAUGCGUGCUCCGGAAGAAAAAGUAUGAACAAGGCAUCAACUUGGCAAACCAAGUAUGCCACUGGAAAGAUGAGAUGAUUUCGGUCGAAAUCCAUAUAAAGAUCACCGGAAACGGAUGCACGGUUUGCAAAUGGCAAGCAAAACAAGGAUGACACGAUUCUGCGAUCAACAGCAUGAUAGCACUUAGAAUACAUCAAGUAACUAUGCUACAGCACCCCAUCAUAGCAACAAAGCAUAUGGAAGUGAUCUACAGGAGAUGCUUGACAAAAGAUGAACACUGAGCUACGGCUAGAUCACACAAUAACAGGCUCAAACAAGCAUGGCAAAAAUGCAAAAGAUAUCAGCUUCACAGACUGAAAUUACUGGACAUGGCAUAAACAGCAUCAGGUAACAAUGUUCAGAGCAAGCAAAACACAUGCUACAGGAACUUAUCAUAGCAAAACAAGGCAUGGCAGGAAUAUACUAAAUGCAUAGAACAAAAGCCCCUUAAUGACCAUGAGCCAAGAAGGCACAGAAGAUAUGAUGGCACCCAUGUAAACAUAGCAAGUUUCGUUAACAGGUUUCAGACUUAGCAGAAAACAGAGCAUGGCAUUAGCAGAAUUAUGAAGGCAUUUUUGUGAGCUCGAUGCACUCAUCACAAAGCAAUGCAUGACAAAACAAGCAUACCUACAGCAAUAUGGCAUGUUCAUCAAGCUAACCAUGGCAAGAUCAAGUUCAUAGCACGUAUGGAUCAACUACAACAACCUAGGAAAAAUUGAAUAUCACGUUAACAUUCUGCCAGAAACAUUUUAUAGCAAAAGUAGAGCAAGAUUGAGACAUGCUAGGGCAAUCCAUAAAUGCAAACAGGGGCAUGGAUGGAUAUAGCACAACUAUAUCUACAAAACGUCCUUACUGAACAUACUGAAAAUAAGCAUGGAUCUCACUGUAGCCACAUGGAUACAUGGCAACAAAAUGACAGCAGGUAAAGGACUUGGCAAAAUCCUAAGUCCCUGAAAACAGAAACAUCACGAAGCCUAGUUUGCAUGCUUGUGCUAGUCACCACAUAGAUCACAAAAAUACAUGGCAUACACCUCUGUAAAUAUGGCAUGGCAUAGAUCAAAACACCUGUAGAGCUCAUGCCCAUAAGAUGCACACAUCAAAUGCAACAAAAAUAACAAAACAUCAAGUUCUGAUAAGUAACAGCAGUAAACAUCAUAUAUCACUCUUGCACCAGAGAUUUGGGCCUCAAGAUGGACUCAAACGAGUAUGGCACAAUGGAACAAAAUGAAGAGCAUAACUUGGUGAACAUUUCUACAUAUCAUGCGCAUGAAACGGAGCAAUAUGCAAGGAGAUAUGAUGUGAUGAACAUGGCAUCAGAAAGUGAGGAUUUCGGGACAGAGAUAAUUCCACCUCGCGGAUCUGGGUUGACUUUGGCAUGGUUUUCGAGGCGGCGGCGGAUCUCGCCAGAUCUCCACCGGAGAAGUGGCCGGAGAAGGCCGGGGAGGUCGAGGAGGGAGGAGGCCGGCCGGAGGAGGCGGCACCAGCGGCGGGGUCGCCGGAGCUUGACGCGGGCGGCGCGCGCGGGCGUCGGGCNNNNNNNNNNNNNNNNNNNNNNNNNNNNNNNNNNNNNNNNNNNNNNNNNNNNNNNNNNNNNNNNNNNNNNNNNNNNNNNNNNNNNNNNNNNNNNNNNNNNNNNNNNNNNNNNNNNNNNNNNNNNNNNNNNNNNNNNNNNNNNNNNNNNNNNNNNNNNNNNNNNNNNNNNNNNNNNNNNNNNNNNNNNNNNNNNNNNNNNNNNNNNNNNNNNNNNNNNNNNNNNNNNNNNNNNNNNNNNNNNNNNNNNNNNNNNNNNNNNNNNNNNNNNNNNNNNNNNNNNNNNNNNNNNNNNNNNNNNNNNNNNNNNNNNNNNNNNNNNNNNNNNNNNNNNNNNNNNNNNNNNNNNNNNNNNNNNNNNNNNNNNNNNNNNNNNNNNNNNNNNNNNNNNNNNNNNNNNNNNNNNNNNNNNNNNNNNNNNNNNNNNNNNNNNNNNNNNNNNNNNNNNNNNNNNNNNNNNNNNNNNNNNNNNNNNNNNNNNNNNNNNNNNNNNNNNNNNNNNNNNNNNNNNNNNNNNNNNNNNNNNNNNNNNNNNNNNNNNNNNNNNNNNNNNNNNNNNNNNNNNNNNNNNNNNNNNNNNNNNNNNNNNNNNNNNNNNNNNNNNNNNNNNNNNNNNNNNNNNNNNNNNNNNNNNNNNNNNNNNNNNNNNNUGGCUGGGGUGCUGACGUGGCACGCCCCGGUUGGCUGCGGGCGGCGGCGCGGGUUCGUCCGGCGCGGGACGGACGCGUCCGGUGGCGGAGAGGGGAAGGGGUUAGGGUUUCGUCUGCGCGAAAAAUCCGGGGGAUCACUUAUUUAUAGGUAGAGGGAGUUAGGAGACUCCAAAUGGAGUGCGGUUUUCGCCCACACGAUCGUGAUCGAAUGACCGAGAGCAUGGAGGGGGCUUAGAUGGGUUAUUGGGCUGUUUUGGAGGGGUGUUGGGCUGCACACUCAAAAGGCCUUUGCGGUUACCCGGUUACCCGUUGGAGCGUCAAACGACCUCCAAAUGGAACGAAACUUGACAGGUGGUCUACCGGUGGUGUACCAAGGCCAUUUGGCAAACCUCGGUCCAUUCCGAGAAUGUUUAACACCCGCUCACGAAAAGAGACAAGAGGGGUGCGCCGGUGCAUGUCGGAGUGUCGGAAUGCAAAACGGACAACGGGGAAAAUGCUCGGAUGCAUGAGACAAACACGUAUGCAAAUGAGAUGCACAUGAUGACAUGAUAUGAGAUGCAUGACAUGAACAAAAUGCAAAAUGAGAGACAAAACCCGACCACGGAGGGAAUAUCAUAACACAUAGCCGAAAAUGGCAAGAGUUGGAGUUACAAAUAUGGAAAGUUACAUCCGGGGUGUUACAACACUCCACCACUACGAGAGGAUCUCGUCCCGAGAUCUAGGACUGAAAGAACUCCGGAUAUUCAGAACGGAGGUGGUCCUCGCGUUCCCAGGUGGCUUCUAGGUCGGAAUGAUGCGACCACUUCACUUUCAGGAAUAUGAUUGACUUGUUGCGAGUCUUGCGCUCCAUUUCUUCAAGAAUAGCAACGGGGUGCUCAUGGUAAGACAGAUCUUCUUGGAGGUCAAUCUCUUCGAAGUUGAUGGUGCGCUCAGGAGUCUUGAAGCACUUGCGAAGCUGUGACACGUGAAACACAUCAUGCACGUUCGCGAAAUUGGAGGGAAGCUCAAGUUCAUAGGCGAGGUCGCCUCUUUUGCCAAUGAUCUUGAAAGGACCCACGUAUCUAGGGGCAAGCUUCCCUUUAAUACCGAAGCGACGAGUGCCUUUCAUUGGAGAGACGCGGAGGUAGACAUGGUCUCCGAUCUCGAAAGCCAAGUCACGGUGCUUGUUAUCAUAGUAACUCUUCUGGCGCGAUUGCGCGGCUUUGAGAUUUUCACGGAUGACUUUACAUAUUUCUUCAGCCUCUGUGAUUAAGUCAUUGCCAAGAAGUUGGCGUUCACCCCUCUCUGACCAAUUGAGAGGAGUACGGCACUUUCUGCCAUAUAGAAUCUCAAAUGGGGCCUUGCCCGAGCUCGCUUGGAAGCUGUUGUUGUAGGAGAACUCGGCAUAUGGAAGACAAUCUUCCCACUUCAUGCCAAAAGAAAUGACACACGCCCUGAGCAUAUCUUCAAGGAUUUGAUUGACUCGCUCGACUUGGCCACUAGUUUGAGGAUGGAAAACUGUGCUGAAGCGAAUGUUGGUGCCCAUGGCCUUCUGGAAGGAGUCCCAGAACUUAGAAGUGAAGAUGCUUCCACGAUCUGAAGAUAUCAAUUGUGGAAUGCCGUGCAAGGAGACAAUCUUGGAGGUGUAUAGCUCUGCCAACUGAGCUGCUGUGAUAGAUUCUUUGAUUGGAAGGAAAUGAGCCCCUUUAGUAAGCUUGUCGAUGACAACGAAGAUAGCAUCAUUUCCGCACUUGGACUUUGGAAAUCCAGUCACGAAGUCCAUUUCGAUAUGAUCAAACUUCCAUUCUGGAAUAGCAAGAGGUUGGAGGAGACCAGCUGGUCGUUGGUGUUCUGCUUUCACCCUUCGACAGACAUCACAUUCAUUCACGAAUUGAGCGAUUUCUUGCUUCAUUCGAGUCCACGAAUACGACUGCUUGAGGUCAUGGUACAUCUUCGUACUUCCAGGAUGAAUGGAGAGAAGAGAAUUGUGUGUCUUGUUCAUAAUGACUUUCCUUAGAUCACCUUUAGGAACCACAAUCCGGUCCUCGAAGAAUAAAGUGUCUCUGUCAUCAAUGCGAUAGCACUUGUAUUUGGAAAGACCCUUGUCGAUACCACGUUUCACCUUCUUCACCAUGGUAUCCAGGAGUUGUGCCUCACGAAUUUGAUCUUCCAAAGUGGGAGAGACUAGGAGGUUGGCAAGAAAGCCUUGAGGAACAACUUGGAGAUUCAGUUUGCGGAAAGCUUCACAAAGAUCCGGUUGGAAUGGCUUGAGAAUUAAGCUGUUGCAAUAAGCCUUCCUGCUCAAAGCAUUUGCAAUGACAUUGGCCUUGCCUGGAGUAUAUUCAAUACUCGGAUUGUACUCUUGAAUCAUCUCGACCCAUCGAGUUUGCCUGAGAUUGAGGUUGGGCUGAGUGAAGAUGUACUUGAGACUCUUGUGAUCGGUGAAUAUGUCCACUUUUCUUCCCAACAAGAGAUGUCUCCAUGUUAUUAAUGCAUGGACAACUGCCGCCAACUCAAGAUCGUGAGUGGGAUAGUUCUUUUCGUUGGGCUUCAACUGACGAGAGGUAUAGGCCACAACUUUCUUCUCUUGCAUUAACACAGCACCGAGACCUUGAAGAGAAGCAUCACAGAAAACUUCGAAUGGCUUGGAUUCGUCAGGAGGAGUUAAGACAGGAGCUGUGACGAGUUUCUCUUUGAGAGUGUUGAAAGCAACGUCACACUCAGGAGUCUAGACAUACUUCACAUGCUUCUGGAGGAGGUUGGAAAGAGGCUUUGCAAUCUUAGAGAAAUUCUCAACGAAUCUUCGGCAAUAGCUUUCAAGACCAAGGAAACUGCGGAGCUGCUUGACAUUCUGAGGAGGUUCCCAAUUCACAAUUGCAGACACCUUCUCGGGAUUAACAGCGAUGCCCUUGGCAGAGAUGAUAUGACCAAGGUAAAGAACUUCAUCAAGCCAAAACUCACAUUUGGAAAACUUCGCAUAGAAUUGAUACUCUCUGAGCUUGUCGAGCACCAAUCGCAAAUGUUUGGCAUGAUCCUUCUUAUUCUUGGAGAAGACCAAGAUAUCAUCGAGAUACACGAGGACGAAUUCAUUGGUAUAGGGGUUGAAGAUGAAGUUCAUCAUUCGAGAGAAUGUUGGAGGAGCAUUGACAAGGCCGAAAGACAUGACAGUAUAUUCAUAAGAACCAAAGCUUGUUCUGAAUGCUGUCUUGGGAAUAUCUUCUUCACGAAUGCGAAUCUGAUGAUAACCCAUACGAAGGUCAAGCUUGGAGAAAACUUUAGCACCUUUGAGUUGCUCGAAUAGCUCAUUGAUGUUGGGAAGUGGAUACUUGUUCUUGAUUGUCUUCUUGUUCAAUGGACGGUAGUCGACACAAAGUCGGUCUGUGCCAUCCUUCUUCUGGACAAAAAGAACACCACAACCCCACGGAGAUGAACUCGGUCUGAUCAAACCCAGACGCUCUUGUUCAUCGAGCUGUUUCUUCAAUUCCUUCAGCUCCUUGGGUCCAAGCUUGUACGGACGCUUGCAAACGGGUUCCGUGCCAGGCUCAAGAUCGAUAACGAACUCAACUGGCCGGUGAGGAGGCAUACCCGGAAGCUCUUCUGGAAAGACAUCUUGGUACUCACAAACGACUGAAAUUUGAGAAAUAGCAUCCAACUCACCCUUCUCGUUGAGAAAAAACAACUGAAUGGUUUCAUCACGAGCGGCAUAGAUGAUAACAUCCUCAGAAGAGUGUGUCAAUUGAAUUUCCAUGGCAGCACAAUCAAGUUGAGCCUUGUGCUUAGAAAGCCAGUCCAUGCAGAGAAUUAGAUCAAUAUCCGAGUCACCAAGAACCAUUGGAGAAGAUAAAAAUUUAUAGUUGCCCAUCUUGAUAGAAACAUCCGGAGCCAUCAUUUUGGUAUUCAUGAAUAAGCCCGGAGAGGAAACCGCUAUCGGCUUAGACAGAUCGACAGUAUGCAAAUUGUUCAUGGAUACAAAAGGUCUUGAUAUGAAAGAAAUAGAUGCACCAGUAUCAAAUAAAACUUUUGCAGGAAUAUCAUUAACUGAGAGAUUACCCAUAAUCACAUCAGUAGAUUCCUCCGCUUGAGCUGCAUUCAUCAUGUUCACCUUUGCAGACUUGGGAUUAUGCUUGACCACUGCAUUGCUGGAAGAUCUCACAGGAGGAGGAGGCGGAAGACGCCUUUGGUUGAAGCACUUGUUAGCAUAGUGACCUUUCUGCUGACACUUGUUGCAAGUCACCUCUGAGAGUGGACGAUGAUAAGGAGCAUUCGACUUUGGAGCUUGAUUCUGAGACUUGUUCUGAUAGCCAGGGUUGGGUGGGUGGGAAGAUCCAUGGCCACCUUUGCUCUUCUGCUGGAAAGGCUGACGAAACGGAGGAGGAGGCAACCAGAACUUCUGUUGCUUAGCAGCCACUAGUGAGGAAGAAGAAGACUGAACUGCGUCCCUGACUCUCUUCUUAGAAGCCUCACACUUGAGCUGAGCAGCCUCUUGCUUCAGUGCCAUAUUGUAGAAAUCAUCAUACUUGGUCGACUCAAAAAGCACGAGAGGUAAUUGCAGAUCUUCUCUGAGGCCACCUCUGAAUUGAUAGAUCAUGCUCUUUUCAUCAGGAACGUCUUGCUUAGCGAAGCGAGCGAGUUUCUGAAACUGGGUAUUGUAUUGAUACACGGACAUGCUGCCUUGCUUGAGAUUGCGGAACUCCUCACGCUUGCUCUCAACAACACUUUGUGGAAUGUGGUGAGCUUUGAAGUCUCGGUGGAAAUCAUCCCAGGUAAUCACAGGACCUCCUCUGGAAUCUUUGUAUUGUUGAUACCACUCGGCAGCUUGAUCCUUGAGUUGAAAAGAAGUGAACUUGACAAAGUCCUCAGGCCUGACAUUGCUACAUUCAAAAUGCUUGUUGAUGUCCACGAGCCAAUCAUCGGCGUCUGUGGCCUCGGCACAGUAGCUGAAAGACUUCGGCUGGUUUGCGAGGAACUGGUUGAGGGUAGCGAAGUGAGGCUGAUUGUUGCCUUGGCCUUGAUUUCCUUGGUUGCCUUGCCCUUGGGUGCGCUCUUGCAAGAGUUGCAAAAUCAUCUGAGCAUUGGCGUUGGUGGCUGCCAUGAUAGCUUGCCAUGUCUCCGGAGGCGGAGGUGGUGGCGGAGGGUUCGUCUGACUCCCUUCAUUGUAUUCCAGAUUCUGACGCGUUGGCGGAGCCAUCCUGAAGAGGGUGACAUCCGUUAGCAUCUUGAUAGACAGAUAGACAAGUUGAAUCAACGGAUAGAAAUUGCAACAUAUAGUCUUCACAAUAAACAUUCGAACGAGGAUGAACGAAUGAAUUCCAUAGUAAAUCAUCACACUUCCAUUAAGGUGAGAAACCACUUGAUAAAGGGUUGAUGAAUAAAAUAACAAGGUGCAACUGGAACAAAUAAGUGGUAAGGAUUACCCAAUCACAAACCAAAUAUCUGCGGGAAGAAAUGCUAAGAGCUACUUGAAUCCCACCUAUAAACUCCCGAAACUUUCUGGUUAUGCAAUCUGGUGUUGGGGAUACAAGGGACAUAAAAUAUAUCACCCAAACUAGCAAUCCCUAGAUCCAGCUGUAUCCAUCCGUCAACACAUAACCAAGAAACCUUCGGAAAUCGUGUACCUCAACCUUCGGAAAACAUCCGUUAUACGAGUUAUGGCAAUACUCCCGAACUCCCGCCCCACUACUGGGUGGCGUCGAGGUGAUCUCACCAACAACUGCAUAAAAGAGAUUUUCGAUGUCGGCGAAACUCAAGUAUUCCAGAACUGCAACGAUAAAAUUGUGACGACAACACCUCGGAGCUCAACUCCCCGGGACACUGCCACAACCCCUAAAUGUCAGGAGGCACCAAGAACAAUGUUCUCGUCACAAAACCAUCGGAACGAUUCCAAUAUACCCGCGUGAUCCUAAAUUUUUUUAGUGAAAUUUGAGGAGAGAAGAGUCAAAACUUCUACGUCACAAGGCCUCACCAGAGCGACAAAGGGACUGGGGAGUAAAAAGAAUCCUACUCUCCGAUAUAUAUAAUCCUAAGACUCAAAACAUUUUUGUUCUAGACUCAACAACGCCAGCGAUUCGAUCAAGCAGGGGGCUCCUAAGUCGGGGAUGGCUCUGAUUACCAACUUGUAACACCCACGAUGUGGCUAUAUCUCCCACGUGUCGAGGCACGACUUAGAGGCAUAACCGCAUUGUAGGUAUUGUCGCAAGAAGGGUCAUCUUCACACAAUCCCAUGUAAUGAACAAGAAUGGGAUAACGAGAGUUGGCUUACAAUCGCCACUUCACACAAUACAUAAUUAAUUCAUACAUCAUCGAAAAUCCACACAUAGACCAACUACGGUCAAAUCCAAAUGAAAAUAAGAUAACCCCAAAUGCUAGAUCCCCGAUCGUCCCAACUGGGCUCCACUACUGAUCAUCAGGAAACGAAACAUAGUACCGACCACGUUCCUCGUCGAACUCCCACUUGAGCUCGGUUGCGUCAUCUGCACUGGUAUCGUCGGCACCUGCAACUGUUUUGGUAGAAUCUGUGAGUCACGAGGACUCAGCAAUCUCACACCCGCGAGAUCAAGACUAUUUAAGCUUAUAGGAAAGGAUGGUGUAAUGAGGUGGAGCUGCAGCAAGCACUAAGCAUAUAUGGUGGCUAACAUACGCAAAUGAGAGAGAGAAGAGAAGCAACGCAAUGGUCGCGAAGCUAGAAAUGAUCAAGAAGUGAUCCUGAAACUACUUACGUUCAUUCAUAACUCCAACCGUGUUCACUUCCUGGACUCCUCCGAGAAGAGACCAUCACGGCUACACACUGUAUUUUAUUUAAGUCAAGUGUCAUGUUCUCUACAACCGGACAUUAACAAAUUCCCAUCUGCCUCAUAACCGCGGGCACGGCUUUCGAAAGAUAAUACCCUGCAGGGGUGUCCCAACUUAGCCCAUUAUAAGUUCUCACGGUCAACGAAGGAUAAACCUUCUCCCGGGAAGACCCGAUCAGUCUCGGAAUCCCGGUUUACAAGACAUUUCGACAAUGGUAAAACAAGACCAGCAAAGCUGCCCGAAUGUGCCGACAAAUCCCGAUAGGAGCUGCACAUAUCUCGUUCUCAGGGCACACCGGAUGGGCAAGACGUCGGGUUGGCUUAGACCCUGGUUGCCGCCGGACAUCGCCCAGUUUGGGCCAGCACUCGAAGGAGCACUGGUCCGGGGGGGUUAAAUAAAGAUGACCCUCGGGCUCACGAAAACCCAAGGGAAAAAGGCUUAGGUAGGCAAAUGUAAAACCAAGGUUGGGCCUUGCUGGAGGAGUUUUAUUCAAGGCGUACUGUCAAGGGGGUCCCAUAAAUCACCCAACCGCGUAAGGAACGCGAACUCAAGGAACAUAACACCGGUAUGACGGAAACUAGGGCGGCAAGGGUGGAACAAAACACCAGGCAUAAGGCCGAGACUUCCACCCUUUAUCCAAUAUAUAGAUGCAUUAACUAAAUAAGAGAUAUUGUUAUAUCCCAAAAUAUCCAUGUUCCAACAUGGAACCAACCUCAACUUCACCUGCAACUAGCAACGCUAUAAGAAGGGCUGAGCAAAAGCGGUAACUUAGCCAAACAACGGUUUGCUAGGAAAGGAUGGUUAGAGGCUUGACAUGGCAAUAUAGGAGGCAUGAUAUAGCAAGUGGUAGGUAGCGCAGCAUAGCAAAAGAGCGAACAACUAGCAAAGCAAAGAUAGAAGUGAUUUCGAGGGUAUGGUCAUCUUGCCCGCAAGGUUCUCAGAGUUGUCGAAAGCUUGAUCCUCGUAAGCGUACUCAACAGGUUCCUCAUUCAUGAACUCGUCUCCCGGCUCUACCCACAGCAAGAACACAAGCAAUGGAACCACAAUCAAUCACGGGAAAUGCACAAGCAACAUGAUGCAAUACAUGCAUGGUAUGCGAGAUGUGAUAUGCGUGCUCCGGAAGAAAAAGUAUGAACAAGGCAUCAACUUGACAAACCAAGUAUGCCACUGGAAAGAUGAGAUGAUUUCGGUCGAAAUCGAUAUAAAGAUCACCGGAAACGGAUGCACGGUUUGCAAAUGGCAAGCAAAACAAGGAUGACACGAUUCUGCGAUCAACAACAUGAUAGCACUUAGAAUACAUCAAGUAACUAUGCUACAACACCCCAUCAUAGCAACAAAGCAUAUGGCAGUGAUCUACAGGAGAUGCUUGACAAAAGAUGAACACUGAGCUACGGCUAGAUCACACAAUAACAGGCUCAAACAAGCAUGGCAAAAAUGCAAAAGAUAUCAGCUUCACAGACUGAAAUUACUGGACAUGGCAUAAACAGCAUCAGGUAACAAUGUUCAGAGCAAGCAAAACACAUGCUACAGGAACUAAUCAUAGCAAAACAAGGCAUGGCAGGAAUCUACUAAAUGCAUAGAACAUUAGUCCUCCUCCAUGCGCCUCCUGCAACAACAAAAGACGAACGGAGCUAGCUGGAAUGCAUAGCUUGUUAGCACGAAACACAAAUCCACCGUUAACAACGAACUUGUUCCAUGUUCUACCUUCUAUACAAUUCUGCAGUACAUCUUUAAAUUCAGCAUCAUGCACAUAUUGAUCUUUGAUGGUCUCCAAACCAAAUAUUUUAAAGUCAAGUUGUGAAAGCAUAGUAUAACGACGAGACAAUGCAUCAGCAAUAACAUUUUCUUUACUCUUCUUGUGUUUAAUGACAUAAGAGAAAGUCUCAAUGAAUUCAACCCAUUUAGCAUGUCUACGGUUCAAUUUUGCUUGACUUUUAAUGUGUUUCAAAGAUUCAUGAUCAGAAUGUAUAACAAGUUCUUUGGGCCAUAAAUAAUGUUGCCAUGUUUCUAAGGUCCGAAUCAGAGCAUAUAAUUCUUUAUCAUAAGUAGAAUAGUUCAGACUAGGCCCACUCAAUUUUUCAGAAAAGUAUGCUACAGGUUUGCCAUCUUGUAAUAACACACCUCCUAAUCCAAUUCCACUAGCAUCACAUUCAAGCUCAAAAGUCUUAUUAAAAUCAGGAAGUUGGAGUAAAGGAGCAUGUGUCAACUUAUCUUUCAAUACCGUGAAGGCUUUUUCCUGUGCGGUACCCCAAACAAAAGGCACAUUCUUCUUUGUAAGCUCAUUGAGAGGUGCAGCAAUGGUGCUAAAAUCUCUCACAAAUGCCUAUAGAAACCAGUGAGUCCAAGAAAACUCCUCACUUGUGUGACCGUUUUGGGCUGCGGCCAACUCUCUAGCUUCAAUCUUGGCUUUAUCAACUUCAAUUCCCUGUGGAGUAACAACAUAGCCAAGAAAAGAUGCUCGGUUAGUGCAAAAGGUGCACUUCCCAAGGUUACCAAACAAACGUGCAUCACGUAGAGCAAUAAAAACAACACGUAAAUGUUCCAAAUGUUCUUCCAAAGAUUUGCUAUAAAUCAGUAUAUCAUCAAAAUAGACUACCACAAAUCAUCCAAUGAAAGCACGUAAAACUUCGUUCAUUAGUCUCAUGAAAGUGCUAGGUGCAUUAGUUAACCCAAAAGGCAUGACUAACCACUCAUAUAAACCAAACUUAGUUUUAAAUGCUGUUUUCCAUUCAUCUCCCAAUUUCAUACGAAUUUGAUGGUAUCCACUACGUAAAUCAACUUUGGAGAAUAUUGUAGAGCCACUCAAUUCAUCAAGCAUAUCAUCUAGCCUAGGAAUAGGAUGACGAUAACGAAUAGUAAUAUUAUUAAUGCCUCUACAAUCAACAUACAUACGCGACGUACCAUCCUUUUUAGGCACUAGUAUAAUAGGAACAGCACAAGGACUAAGAGAUUCGUGUAUAUAACCUUUGUCGAGCAGCUCCUGUACUUGACACAUAAUCUCCUUCGUCUCCUCUGGAUUGGUACAGUAUGGUGCACGGUUGGGUAGCGAUGCACCGGGAAUUAAGUCAAUUUGAUGCUCAAUCCCUCGAAUAGGUGGUAAUCCCGGUGGCACGUCUUGUGGGAAGACGUCAGCGAACUCCUGCAAAAUGUUAGUGACAGCAGGGGGCAAAGAGGAAGGCACGUCCUCGAAUGAAAAUAAUGCCUCUUUGCACACAAAAGCAUAGCAAACAUAUUUGCUAAAAUCUAGCUCAUCAAUAUCAGAUUUGGUGGCAAGUAAACAUGCACUUUUCAAUUUAAUUUCAGAAGCAACACUAGAUGAUUUAUUAUUAGGCUUCAUUUGUUGCUCAAAUUCUUUUGACACAAUCUGAUUUUCACUCUUAUUUUUCUCCUAUUUUGCUUUAUUAGCUCUAUUAAUAUCAUCUUUCAAAAUGAAAUGAGGAGUCAUAGGAAGGAAAGUAAUAUUUUUAUCCUUGUGAACAAGAGUAUACUGAUUGUUUCUAUCAUGGUGUACAUAAUUUUUGUCAAAUUGCCAUGGUCUACCAAGUAAUAAGGAACAUGCUUGCAUAGGUACCACAUCACAAUCAACAUAAUCAGCAUAUGUAGAGAUACUAAAAUGCACACGAACAGUACGUGUUACCUUAACCUUACCGCUGUUGUUGAACCAUUGGAUGUAGUAAGGAUGUGGAUGUGGUCUUGUGGUGAGAGAUAGCUUCUCCACCAUCUCCAUGCUAGCCAAGUUGUUGCAGCUCCCUCCAUCUAUGAUGACGUGAAUAGAACAUUCCUUCACAACUCCCUUUGUAUGGAACAAAUUAUGCCUCUGAUUUUGCUCAGCUUGUGUAACCUGCACACUCAAAACACGUUGAGCAACCAAACAUUCAUACCUGUCAGCAUCUUCAGGAGCCAUGUAUUGCGUCUCAUGAUCAGAAUCAUCUCCACCGUGUUCUUCAUGUGUAAUAAGAGCCAAAGUCUCCUCAUCCUAGUCACUAGCGGACUCAUACCCACCAUCCUCAGUAGCAAUCAUCACACGCUAAGAUUUGCAUUCUCGCGCAUAAUGACCUCUUCCCUUACAACGACGACAAAUAAUAUCAUUUGUGUGCCCUGUUGAUGCCAUAGAAGAAGAAGAGCUCUGUGCAGGCCCGGCAGGUGUGCUCUUGGCAGAUAGUGGUGGUUGUGUCUGCUCUCUUGUAUCACGGUUGGAGGUGGCACCUGAUGGAGGUGAUGGUGCAGUGGAAGUAGAGGAUGCACGUGGCGUCCAUGACGAAGGUCGACCUGCAGAAAAGUUAGUUCGCGCCAAUGCCUGUCAAUCCUGCACUUCACGUUUAGAUUUACAAGCAAGAUGGAAUAAACGAGUGAUAUUAUUAUACUUCUUAUACUCUAGAAUAGUCUGAAUCUCUCUAUUUAAUCCACCCAUAAAACGUGCAAACAUAGCUUCAUUAUCCUCAACAAUACCACAUCUAAUCAUGCCAGUUUGUAAUUCCUGAUAAUAUUCCUCUACAGAAUUUAUUUCCUUGUCUAAAAUGCUGCAAUUUUUGAAGUAAUUCACGUUGAUAAUAUGGUGGAACCCAACAAGUACGCAUAGCAGUUUUCAAAGCAGCCCAAGUAGUUGGAAUAUUAUUCGGAUAUAAUCUACGAUGUUCAGACCACCACACACAAGCAAAACUAGUGAAAGCACAAAGUGCAGCAGCAACACGUCUCUCCUCGGGAUAUUCUAAACAUGUAAAACGUUGUUCGGUUUAUAACUCCCAAGUAAGAUAUAUAUCAGGAACAUAUCUACCCUCAAAUGAUGGAAUAUUCAAUUUCAGUUUAGGAAGAUGGUCCUGAUCUCGUACCUGAGGGAGAGCCCUACCAUUGUGAUUAUUUGCAUGUGGACGACCUGGUGGUGGUGGUGCUGGUGGUUGCACGUAGUUCUGAUUUUGAUCAACCUCAUCCUCAUAAUCUCCCGCAUAAUCAUCCUCCGCAUCAGCAGCAGGAGCCACAGAAGUAUCAACAACAGCACCAACAGUUUGGCCAGGCUGAAGAAGGACAUGGCUCGCUCGGCGGAGGGCUGUUUCGCGACGUGGAGGUAGUCGUUGUUGUUGUUGUUGCAGAGGUGCGGCAGGUGCAGCCGGUGGUGGAAGACGCGCAAGCAGUUCAUUAAAUCUGUUAUCGAGCUUUGUUUCGAACGUCUUCUCAAGGCCAGUGAUCUUCUCCAUGGCCUCUUCAAAAUUGUUCAGCACAUCUUGCACCUAUUCAGUCAUCAUUUGCUAAAACUUAUCAUGAAGCUCCUUAUUCGUUAAGUUCUCCCAGUCAAUCUCAUCGGCUUGUGAUCCUGGCAUGGUUAGCAGCAAUAGAAACACACAAGAAUAUGAUCCUACAGACUACUAACAAGUGGUGGUGGUGGUGGUGGGAGUCACAAAUCCGUCAAGCAAAUCUCAAAUUCUUACCAGUUCUUACCCAGCAGCAGGCGGUGAUCGGCAACUGAUGUAGUCAAAACUCUCAAAGCUUGGAUAAAGCGAUUAUCAGGGAGAGUCAAACGCACGAUGUAGAUGUAUGUGGAGCUGGGAAGGCUUAUAAUAUGGUAGCAAAAAGGGUCAGCAAUAAUCAAUUAAGAGAUGCAAAGUUGAAUAAACGCUUAACGACGGUACUGUGCUGGUCCUAGGCUAGACCGUGCUAGAGACGCGAGCCUAGAACACUAACAAAAUCACGGCGUUGCACGUAAACAAGGGAAAAGCACACUCUGAAAUUUUUUUCGCUCUUUUUUUGCACUCUUUUUUUGGGUGAAAAAUCACUAUAAUGGAGAGUGUCUCAAAACUCUUCCCAGGUCAAACUGACAGGAUGGGCAUAAAAAAAUUAACAAUUUUUUUUCGGAAAUCAGGGCAGCGACGACGAAAAAGUGCGACAAAAAAUCACUAUGAUGGCGAGUGUCUCAAAACGCUCCGUGGGACCUAAAAAUAGGAUAGGGAAAAAUAUUUUUGGUCGCCGAAAUUUUGGCCUAGAAACUGCCCGGGGGUCUCCAGACUUUUUUUUCGAGACCUACUCAGGCAAGGAAACACAAAACGAAAACUAGAUGGAUCUCGAAAACAAACCUAAUAUGAAAAGAACUCGGAUUGGUGGUGGACAGGCAGAUGUAUAUGUGGACUCGGAUUGGUGGUGGACAGGCGGAUGUAUAUGUGGACUCGGAUUGGUGGUGGACAGGCAGAUGUAUAUGUGGACUCGGAUUGGUGGUUGACAGGCGGAUGUAUAUGGCAGUGGUAAGGAAUAUGUUGGUGGUGGUGGUAUAUGGUAGGAACGAUGACGAUGGUGCGGCGGCGGCGGCGUGACAACUUGUGAACAGAACUCGAAACUCUAAGGGAAACCAGACGCUAAGACCAGCAACUUGACACGAUGAUGCAACCGCAAAUUCAACAAAGCAAAAUACUGAAAAGACUAUGCAAAGGCUCAGACUGGUUCGGAUAUGAUGAACUAACCCUAAUUUUUUUGUGGCUUUUUCGUGGAUUGUAGGUAUGAAGACCAGUCUGGAUCUAAACUACGAAAAUCUGUAAAAUCUCAUCGAGCAACCAAAAAAUCUGAUACCACUUGAUAGAGGUGAGGGUCCCGAUCUUUCGAUGAGAUGAUAACUAUCGAUUUGGUGGAGUCGACUUUGACGAUCCGACUACAAACGUGCACGACGUUGUGCCUUAGCAAUCGCCAAACCAACUCCGAAAGGUUAUUGACCACGCCGGAGCACGAUCAACCUGACCACGAAGGUCUAUUCCUGCAAGCAAUCGAAGAACAAGCAAGAAUAUGAUUAAGCAAUCUGAAUAUUGCGAAUAUGGAUGAAGUAUUGAUAAAAGUGGGGUUUCAUAAGCGGUCUUGGUCAGGUCGUUGGACACAAACGAAGUACACGAAGUUGCAGCGAUGGCUAACUUUUAACUAAAUAAAACCCCAAAGUCUAAACGACGCCCUAAGGAUUGUAUAUAUGAAGGAAGAGGGGGGGGGGAUUUCGUGGCCCUGGAGGGAGGGGUCCGAAACCAACCCUAACUCUUGUUUCCCCAACAUACGGACUCUAAAAACAGCCUAUACUUAAGUAUUUCGAAAUUACAUGGGCCUGGCCCAAUAAUAAGGUGACGCAACACCUAGAAUAGCCUCUCGAUGAAAUUUAUGAAGUGGCAUCUUGUAUAUUUCGUCCAAGGCUUCAUGCACUCCUUAUGGUGGCUUCAAAGUCCUGAAAUCAUCACUUGUAAAUCCGUUCUUGUUCCCCUUGCGCAUGCCAUCAUCUCCCGACUUGGUCUUGCUCCAGUGUUCAUCCCUCUUCUCCAUGCCAGGCCCUUCAUUUGUAAGCAAAACAAAUGUAUCCAAUUUAGGCAGCAUCAUAUUCUCAUGAACAUUAGAAUCAUUACCAAGAAACGAAAGUACCUGAUAAUUUAAUUAGCGUGCGCGAGCUCUAGUAAUUGGUCCAGUAUAUGUGGCAGUAGGGGCUGUGGGUGUAAUAAUGGUAUUGAUGUCCGCAUCAGGCUAGUUUGGUUGCCACCCUGGGCUCCGUGCCUGAGAAAAUGUCAUGCCUGACUUGUGCCUGAGAUUCCAAAUUUACUAGCCUGGUUAGGCAGCCUGGGUUGGUGGCUGUUUGGAUGGUGGCUUCGCCUGGAAGAUUCUCAAAGGCUUUAAAAUAUAUAUAAUUGAAGCAUCAGCCCCUAACCCGAUCCACAACCAUCUAGGAAAUUAUUUGUUUAAUGUCAGGCAGCUGCAGUCCACCAUCCAGGCUACUGAAAUGGGACGCCUGGGAGGCUAACCCAUCUGCCUGGGUAUUUCAGACCAAGCUAGCUCUUGAUUUUUCAGGACUCCAUCCAAACAAACACCAGGCAGAUUUUAGGCAGCCUCCAGGACGGCCAUCCACAGCGAGGAAGCGAUCCAAACUAGCCCUAUAUGAAUGCAUCUCUCCUAGCACCAUGAACAGAAGAUAAAGGCUCCAGAAACGAGUGCGUCGAAGUCAGAACUCUAGAUCCAGGUCGGGGCGGAGCCAUUGCCAGGUGACAGAAAGCGCGCCUGAGCCACCCGCCACUCCACUUCUUGCCGCCCACACAACCAAAAGGGAAGGCCAACACCGCCGCCAUGGUGCCCGCCAGAAAGCCAACCAUGCGGACCAUCAUCUGGGGUCACCACCCCGGUAUCCAUGUCCGAGACACCACCAACCGCCCACAUCAUGGUGCACCCACCACAGCAGGAGGAGUAAAGACGUCUCCUUUCACUCCUGCCCGGCAUCAACCACGGGAGCCCAACUCAGAUGGUUAGUUGUUUUUAAUACAAUACAGACGUAGACGCUCAUACACACACAUAUACUUAUUAUAUGAAUGCACACACGCACACUACCCUAUGAAUGUCCUAGACUUGACAUUGACGCUCAUAUUUUUCUGAUUUUUUUCCAAACCUUUACGGCGAUGUUCUUUUAGUGUGAGAAUAUAUUCCCGUCGAUUAUGGAGGUGCAUGUGAUGACUUCGUCGAUCUUAAGAGGAUGUGCCCGCUCAUUCUUUCGGAGAUGCUCAUAGAGUUAGAGUGUGCAUGUGUACAUUUAUAAAGAUAAAUGUAUAUACAUAUGUAUGAGGGUCUAUGUUUGUACCGUCUUAAGUUAAAAAAAUUGGCAUACGAAAAUACUACUAAAAAAAACCGCUACCUCAUCACAAAACCGAAACUGCUGUGCGGACGACGCACGGCCUGCACGACAGCGAAACGAUGGCUAAUCUAUCCGUUGGCCCCACUUUAGUCAUAUGCAUGGACGGCUUGAUUUAGCUGUCGUGCACAAAUCGUCAGCAAAACAUCGUCUGCAUAGCAGCGCUCUCACAAAACUUAACUGUCCCUUGUCCAAACCCUCUUCUCUCCGCUGUGGAACCAUCCCCAAUCCGUCCGCUCACUUUUCCGUCACGCCGCCGCCUCCCAGUCCCCCCUUGGAGGCAACCGCUUCUGCCAUCGCCGCUGGCCCUAAUCGAGAGUUCCAACCGUCGCCGACCCCCGUCCUCCUUCCAACUCCCACAAUGGCAUCAAUAGCGAGGGUGCCGUCAAGGUGCACAGCAGAGACGGCGCGGGCCACGGUCGCGUUCGAGAUCGCCGGCUACAGCCGGCACAAGGGCCUUUUUAGAGGCAAAUUCCUCCGUUCUCCUGCAUUCUCCAUCGGCGGCUACGAAUGGUGCGUCCGCUACUACCCCGAUGCCGAGGAGAGCGAAGGCCAUGUCUCUGUCUACCUCGAGCUCUUGACCAAGAACGCCGAGGUGAGGGCGCUCUGCAGCUUUAUGCUUGUGGAUCCGGUUAAAGAGAAGUCGAUUGUGGUGCACUCUUUCAAGGAACCACGAGUGUUUAACGGUAAAUGGCCAUCAUGGGGCCUGCUAAAGUUCAUGAAGAGCACCCCUGAAGUAGAGUCCCUGUACCUGCGGAACGAUUGUCUCGUGAUCGAGUGCGAAGUCAGUGUUAUCAAGGAAACACUCGA
rnacentral:lncRNA from 1 species